rfam:Niastella yeongjuensis strain 17621 contig10, whole genome shotgun sequence.
UCAGGCGUAGCCGAAAACCUGCAUAAUAGAGUAGGCG